rnacentral:rRNA from 1 species
AUGCACGCUAGCUACAGGCUUAACCCCUGCACGUCGCGGGGAAACGAUGAGAGAGCUUGCUCUCUUAGUCGUCGACCGGCGCACGGGUGAGUAACGCGUAUCCAACCUGCCUCUGACCAAGGGAUAACCCGUCGAAAGUCGGACUAAUACCUUAUGCAGUCGUCGGAAGUCAUCUGAUGACGACGAAAGAUUUCAUCGGUGAGAGAUGGGGAUGCGUCUGAUUAGCUUGUUGGCGGGGUAACGGCCCACCAAGGCGACGAUCAGUAGGGGUUCUGAGAGGAAGGUCCCCCACAUUGGAACUGAGGCACGGUCCAAACUCCUACGGGAGGCAGCAGUGAGGAAUAUUGGUCAAUGGGCGUAAGCCUGAACCAGCCAAGUAGCGUGCAGGAUGACGGCCCUAUGGGUUGUAAACUGCUUUUAUGCGGGGAUAAAGUGAGGGACGUGUCCUUCAUUGCAGGUACCGCAUGAAUAAGGACCGGCUAAUUCCGUG